UACGUAGGGCGCAAGCGUUGUCCGGAAUUAUUGGGCGUAAAAGAGCUCGUAGGCGGUCUGUCGCGUCCGUUGUGAAAACUCGAGGCUCAACCUCGGCUGCAGUGGAUACGGGCAGACUAGAGUGCGGUAGGGAGACUGGAAUUCCUGGUGUAGCGGUGGAAUGCGCAGAUAUCAGGAGGAACACCGGUGGCGAAGGCGGGUCUCUGGGCCGAUGACUGACGUGAGGAGCGAAAGCGUGGGGAGCGAACAGG
rnacentral:rRNA from 1 species